CAGUCGCCGCGGGAAUACGUAGGGUGCAAGCGUUAAUCGGAAUUACUGGGCGUAAAGCGUGCGCAGGCGGUUAUAUAAGACAGUUGUGAAAUCCCCGGGCUCAACCUGGGAACUGCAUCUGUGACUGUAUAGCUAGAGUACGGUAGAGGGGGAUGGAAUUCCGCGUGUAGCAGUGAAAUGCGUAGAUAUGCGGAGGAACACCGAUGGCGAAGGCAAUCCCCUGGACCUGUACUGACGCUCAUGCACGAAAGCGUGGGGAACAAACAGGAUUAGAGACCCCAGUAGUCCCUGUCUCUUAUAA
rnacentral:rRNA from 1 species